UUAAUGUUUGAUGUUCUAACGUGGACCCGUAAUCCGGGUUGCGGACAGUGUCUGGUGGGUAGUUUGACUGGGGCGGUCUCCUCCUAAAGAGUAACGGAGGAGCACGAAGGUUGGCUAAUCCUGGUCGGACAUCAGGAGGUUAGUGCAAUGGCAUAAGCCAGCUUGACUGCGAGCGUGACGGCGCGAGCAGGUGCGAAAGCAGGUCAUAGUGAUCCGGUGGUUCUGAAUGGAAGGGCCAUCGCUCAACGGAUAAAAGGUACUCCGGGGAUAACAGGCUGAUACCGCCCAAGAGUUCAUAUCGACGGCGGUGUUUGGCACCUCGAUGUCGGCUCAUCACAUCCUGGGGCUGAAGUAGGUCCCAAGGGUAUGGCUGUUCGCCAUUUAAAGUGGUACGCGAGCUGGGUUUAGAACGUCGUGAGACAGUUCGGUCCCUAUCUGCCGUGGGCGCUGGAGAACUGAGGGGGGCUGCUCCUAGUACGAGAGGACCGGAGUGGACGCAUCACUGGUGUUCGGGUUGUCAUGCCAAUGGCACUGCCCGGUAGCUAAAUGCGGAAGAGAUAAGUGCUGAAAGCAUCUAAGCACGAAACUUGCCCCGAGAUGAGUUCUCCCUGACUCCUUGAGAGUCCUGAAGGAACGUUGAAG
rnacentral:rRNA from 1 species